AUGCUGGGAGAAACGACAGGCAAUAGGGACAGGGUGAGGAGAGGGUCACGGCUGCAGGUGGGCACAGGGCUGGGAAGAGGAGCAGAGGAUGCCCAGGGUGGACACGGUCACGGCUCCAGGUGGGCACAGGGAUGCCCAGGGUGGACACGGUCACAGCUCCAGGUGGGCACAGGGCUGGAAGAGGAGCAGAGGAUGCCCAGGGUGGACACGGUCACGGCUCCAGGUGGGCACAGGGAUGCCCAGGGUGGACACGGUCACGGCUCCAGGUGGGCACCGGGCUGGGAGAACAAGCCCAGGGAUGCCCAGGGUGCCCCAGGAGGACACAGCCCCGCAGGCAGGGCGGGCCAGCAGCGCUCCAGCGGCCGGGCCGGCGCUGCCAGCACACCGGAUUUCUGCAGGGCUGGAAGAAGCCAGGCUGCCGGGAAGCCGCUGACUGCCAGGGGAUCUGCGGCUCAUCCCACCGCCGUGCCCUUGGCUCCCACCUGCAGCCCCGGGGCAGCUCGCACCCGGUUCCAGUUUCUCGCACCUUGUCGCAUUAAGCCCAGCUCUAUAGUUCCCUUCCACCUGCAGCUGCUGCGGGACAAUCCCAAAUCUCCCGAAUCGCUCAGGGCUGCCCCGGGGCUCGGGGGGGAAGGAGCCCCAGCGCGAUUCCAGGCGGGGAAGUCGCGUCCCGGCUCUGCCACCGGAGCCAGCGGGAAACUGAAACUGAGCGCGGGGAAGGCGAUACGGGCAGGGGGCUGGGCGAGGAACAAUCGGCCCUGGCCACCAGCACAGGAUCCCAGCUUUGCCUGACCUCGUUUACUCCCGCUGAUGUCCUGCCAGAGCUCCUCUGUGCCGCAGGCACAGGUACCGGCACCGGUUUGGAUCAAAAAACCAGUCUGGACUGGGGAUAAACGCUUCUCUUAUCCCAGACACUGCCUAUCUUCCUCCCUUUCCCUGAGUUCUGCUCGUCAAAAGGUUUUUAAUUGCAGACUGGCACCGGUCUGCUCGAAUUUGAGGUUAAGGCUGGUUGAGAGCGUAGUUAAAGCAACUGUUUAUUGCCUGGGCUAGGAGAGAUAACGAGCCGGGUUCUAAUUGUUCGCCACACAAGCUCAUCUUCCAAAAAACUCAGCAUCCCGAGACGGGGAGAAAACCCUGGAGUGUCAGUUUUAAUCAAGAUUAAACCACAGUUCUCAAGCAUUUAGACUCAGUCUCAAACACAGACCCGGGAUUUCAGAGUUUUUAGGUGGGACGUGAUCCUGCAGUCUAAGCCCAGCAUUGGAUCCCAAAAUAAAGUCUCGAAGGGAGACAGGAGCACCCAAACCACCACAGAGCCUCGAUGGCAGCAUAAAUUUCACCCUUCAUUUGCGUCCCGUGCCCACAUCCAAAUUCCCACGCUGGGAGAACAACUGGAAUUUUUAAUUCUGCUUCCAAAAGUCACCAAACACGAAGGGAACCCUCACCGUGCCAAAUUAAUUCCACCCAGUUCCUCCACAAAGCCCCUCAUGAAGCCACAGCUGAAGAUCUCCACCAGAUGAAAUACGAGUGAAAAACGAUUAAUAAUUAAAAAAAAAAAAAAAAAAAAAAAAAAAUUCAG
rnacentral:lncRNA from 12 species